rnacentral:sRNA from 1 species
AAAUUAUCUGUAUAUAUUAUCUCUAAUUGACGGGAACAGAAGUCCAAAAACUUAGUUCUGAAUCCAUCGGAGACUCCGAUCUAAAUCCCGAAUCAGUCUGUACCUGUUUUUGCCCUUCGCCAUCACGCACGCACGGCUCUUGUUUUGAAUGUGGAACAACGUUGCUGAUAUCUACAAUGAUGUCAACAUACAUAGCAGCAUCAAUGCCUACCAAGAUUUAGCAGUGUCAUUGGAUGAACUCAAAACGACAAGUUCCAUUGUCGUUUUGACUUUCUGGGUUUGUUUCCUUUAUUAAUGUUAAUGGAAAUUAUCUGUGUGUUUUUUUAGUAAUUUUCCUUUUAUAUUUUUCUCUCUAUAUAGAUAGAUAGAUAACCCAAAAAAUCGUGACUCCGAUAUAAUUUCGAAUCGAGACGACCAACGCCAUCAUUCUCUAGAUCUGUUCUCGACCUUAUCCAUGAUCAUGUUUGUAUCUAUUUGCUUUCACUUCUUCAUAUGAAAAGCUUGCACCUUUAAUUAUUUCAGCACCAAUGUAUUGAAUAUUGGGAUCUAAUUUACCUUUACUCCAAGUUGGUAGCUGCAGCCUGGUUUUUCUACUUCAAGGUUUCUUUCUUUGAGCCCGAGUGACGGAUAAUGGCCAUCAUUCACCUUAUGAUCUCGUUCAUUCGUAUUUACUACAGUCACUGCUUUGUUGUUGCUCUGAUUCCACAAACCUAG